AUACAGGCAAUGAUGGAUGGGAGAAAGAAGGGAAGAGGAGCUGGUAAGUCUCCCCCUCCCUCCUUCCCAUGUUAAAUUAAGAAGACAGCCGGAUGCCAGAGGCUGCUGGUGACUUAUAAAUGGUCUGCAGACAGCAGUUGAUUUCAGAAAGCAUGCGGCUCAGAUCUGUUGCACCACUAGACAUGCCUCCGCCAGCCUUAGUGUCACAACUGAUGGGCUUGCUCUGGACAUACAAGUGACUGACUGGAUCGUGAACAGUUGUUCUCAAGAGACAGUGAAUGUCUUCAGGACAGGAACCUGGGACAAGAUGUGGAGGUGACCUGAAGGAAACACCAGACUCACCAUUGUGGAAGAUCUAGAAGCAAGGCGAUCAGAGUCGCACAAACUCAGGCAGAUGCCACACCGAAAGGACUGCCAUUAUCACACAUGCCAUGAAAACACUCCCUGUCUUAGUGACCCCACAAGUGGGGACAAUCAUGCUUCCCUCCUGAAUAUUUAACAGGAUGGAAGGUUCUGAGUCUGCUCUCAACAGGUGAUCAAUCCAUACCAUGAGCUUCCGUCCAUUUCCUGUUCAAAGUGUCUAAUAAAAAUCAAACAAACAAACAAACAAACAAAAACCAACAGUGAAAUGCUAAAAGUGUUAGUGUUAACAGGCGCGGUGACAGAAGCACAGGAAAAUGUACUUUCUCACUGACCCCAGUGAGGACCUUGUAAUAAAGUUCACGAGAAUUUUCCU